CCCAUUCAGCAUGGCUUAGUCAGCUAGGGCUCUUCAGGCCUGUGGGUCCACGGCUCAGAUGAACCACCUGGAUACGUUCCCGUGUGGAGCAUCCCCACCGGCUGAAAUGUGAUGAGUUACUGUUGCUACACAGGUGGCGACAGUCAGUUCCCACUUGUUCGUGCUGCUGAUGGGAACUGGGGCCUGUACAGGAACCACGGCUCCCACGUGUCUCUCAUUCCAGGACACUCUGGUCUCACCGAGCGAGGCUUCAGAGUUCUCGCGGUAUCUCGCUUUAAGGUGACUAGCCGCCUUAGUUCAGAACGGUGCCGUCCUGCGCAUUUGCAGAUGCUUCGUUUCACCCAAGAGCCUGCAAUGGUGACCUGGCCUCUUCUGACUCAGGUCCUGUCAGGGUACAAGGUCCAGGCUGGCCUAUAUUCCCCCUUGUUCCAGAGGGCUGUGAGGAACCCGGACGCACAGUUCACUCUCCCGCACCUGACCCAGCAGCCAGGACCUUCAGCAAGCAGGCCUCCCGGGUACCUCUUAUCGGAGGAGAGCUCCGCCCCACCCAGCUGUGCCAAGAUUUUCAAGUUUCCCCUGGAUCUGCCAGGGGAAACUUUUGGGAGGAAUAGACUGCACUGGUUAGGUUCCAGCUUGGAAUUAGACGCCCAGGUUCCCCAAGAGCCCGUGUCAGUGAUCCUGCCUCUCACCACCUUUGAACUCUUCCAGAUGCCUGGCUACGUUGAACGCGCAGCGCAUAGCAUGUGCAUGCGCAGUACGAGCCCACUCAGGAGGCCUUGGGCAGCUGGGGCCCUCCAGGCUUAUGGGGCCAUGGACGGACCUCACCAUCGGGAUGUUCUCCUGGGUGGAGGAGAACCCUCUGCAGUACUCUCUGGUUCUGCGGCUGCAGAGGCAUACCUGCGUGGCGUGGCGUGCCCCCUCUUCUUGGGAACUAGAGGAUUUCUCUUUGCAUCUGCUGAGUGCUAAUGGGCAUUAACACUCUGGGAUCGUCUUUCUAGAAGUUUAGGAGCAGCAGAUACCUGUUCGCCUUUACUCCUUGAGUGCAGCCCCUUGAGGUUCCUCCCGUAAGAUAAGGCGUUUUCGUGCCUCUUGGCUGCCAGGCCAAAAGCCUGGGGAUUGUCAGAAGUGACGCUUGGUCCCUCAUCCUCUCAGUUCUGCCUCCUGGAAUUGACAACUAACCUGGGGUGAAGCAAACCCAAAUGCGUGGCUACUUCUCUGAUCUUUAUCUUCCCCUGGAUCCUACCUGGAGGGCAUCAUCUAAUCAGUUGAAGGCCUUCAUAGAAAAAGACUGACUUCUCUGGAAGAAGAGGGGAUUCUGCGGGCAGACCAGCCUUGGACUCAAACUGCAUCUCUUUCCUGGGUCUCGACGCUGCAGAAUCACUUGAGCCAAUAUUUAAAAUAAAUCUCUCUCUCUCUCUCUCUAUCUCUCUCUGCCUCCCCCUCCCUCUCUCUCUGUGUGUAUAUAUAGUCUUGAAAAAUACUUUGUGCCCUGAUGGUUUCUUUUUCUUAUUUUGCAUAAUCCAGAUUUGUUUGUUUGUUUUUGUGCUUGGCAUAUUUAUCUUAUUGUAAAUAUAUAUCAUGUUGUGGGGGUGUGUUUUUCAAAAUCAGAAAAUGUGAUAUGAAAUUUGAACAUUAUAAAAUCAGACUGUGCUAGGUACAUUUAUUUUUUUAUGCCAAUCCUUAAAACAAUCCUGUGUGACAAAUGAUAUAUUCCUUCAAUGAAGAAGAAACUUCAGCACAGAACAUUUAAAUGCCAUUUCAAACUUCCAAAAUGUGCAGAUCAUGGAGCUGUGAUGGAAACCCAGAUCCAGCUGACUCCAAGUGACCCCCCCCGUACCCCCACCACCAGAUAAUGCACCCUCUACAAAGAAGAAAAGCUUAAAUAACCCAAUAUAACACAAACUCUGAAGGCCUCCACUAGACCCAUUUCAGAAGAGAAAUCUCUUAUGACUCAAUUUAACAUUUUGUUUGGAUGUGACAAUAUCUAAAGGAAGCAGAAUGUCUUUGUCAGCAUUCUUUCUUACAAAUAGGAAAAACCCAGCACAGAUUAGACCAAAAGAUGACAGUCUCAUGGCUGUCUAAUCCUCAGGACAGAAGUCC
rnacentral:lncRNA from 1 species